rnacentral:rRNA from 1 species
GACGAACGCUGGCGGCGUGCCUAAUACAUGCAAGUAGAACGCUGAAGGGAGAGCUUGCUCUUCUGGAUGAGUUGCGAACGGGUGAGUAACGCGUAGGUAACCUGCCUGGUAGCGGGGGAUAACUAUUGGAAACGAUAGCUAAUACCGCAUAACAUUGACUAUUGCAUGAUAGUCAAUUGAAAGGUGCAAAUGCACCACUACCAGAUGGACCUGCGUUGUAUUAGCUAGUUGGUGGGGUAACGGCUCACCAAGGCGACGAUACAUAGCCGACCUGAGAGGGUGAUCGGCCACACUGGGACUGAGACACGGCCCAGACUCCUACGGGAGGCAGCAGUAGGGAAUCUUCGGCAAUGGACGGAAGUCUGACCGAGCAACGCCGCGUGAGUGAAGAAGGUUUUCGGAUCGUAAAGCUCUGUUGUAAGAGAAGAACGAGUGUGAGAGUGGAAAGUUC